UGUGCACCGGUGGGGUCCCUUGGCCUGGCUUGCGCCCUCUCGCAACCCGGGACCCCUUGGGGGAUGUGGGACUGAUCCCCACAGGCCAGGCCAAGGGACCCCACCGGUGCACA
rnacentral:pre_miRNA from 1 species